UACAGAGGUCCCAAGCGUUGUUCGGAUUCACUGGGCGUAAAGGGUGCGUAGGCGGUCGGGUAAGUCUGAUGUGAAAUCUCCAAGCUCAACUUGGAAAUGGCAUCGGAUACUAUUCGGCUCGAGGACUGGAGGGGAGACUGGAAUACUUGGUGUAGCAGUGAAAUGCGUAGAUAUCAAGUGGAACACCAGUGGCGAAGGCGAGUCUCUGGACAUUUCCUGACGCUGAGGCACGAAAGCCAGGGGAGCAAACGGG
rnacentral:rRNA from 1 species